CGCAUACGCUGAAUUAAUAAGGAUUAAAAAAAAAAAAAAAAGGAAAAACAACGUAGUCAAUAAAUUCAAAUAAAAUGAAGAAAUAUGAAAAAUAGAAUUAAAGAAAACUAAAAUACUACGUGUAUAUUUUUGAUAAAAUCUCAUUAUUUACUUGAGGGUCACCCAAAAUUUCUCCGGAUUCCUAAAUGGGGUCGUUUACGGUAGUAUAUUAGGAGGCGUUAAGGAAAUUUUGAUAAAACAACUCUGCGGUUCUAAAUUAGGACUAGGGUUUAAGGAUUAAAAACAGUAAGCAACACAUUAUGGAAGAGUACGAGGUUUACAUUGAUGAAAAGAUUGAGACUGUUUUGGGUCAUCUUCGUAAAGAUUUUGAUGGAGUUAUUUCUUCUGGUAAUUUGGGUCCAAGAUUUGGGGUUUAUGGUUCGUUUUUGCCAACUUAUAAACGCCCCACUACACAAGAUUCAUGCUUUUCUGUUCAAGAAUCAAGUAAGUUCAUGGUAAAACAUGAAGUUUCUAUGAUUAUUAGGUCGCUUAAUCAAAGAACACUUCCUGAUUUAGGUGAAGUGCCGUCCAAAAUUAGAGAAGUUUCGGGUGAUUUUUCUCCAACAAGUAUCCUUCAUAAUAUGACAUCUUUUCCGGUUGUUGGAGACAUACUGCUUUCACCUCUCCAUGAGAAGUUAUUAACUCUGUCAAGAAAUAAGAAAGUUUUCGCGAAGAUUGACAAAUAUGAUCACCAGGAAGUAAGAAGUAGUUCAGUGGAAUUUGGCGGGGCUGUCUCUCUAAGAAAGAAAGAUGUUACAAAAGUUGCAAGUCAUAAACCUGACCAACCAAGGAUGCUCCACACAAAGAAAAGAAAAUUGAGGGAUCACUUGGAUGCUAAUGUUUUUGAGAGUGGAUUCAGAAAGCAGAAGAAAUCGAAGGUGUAUCAGACUGAAAAAAAGGAGUGCAAUACAAGCAAGGGUGUUGAGAAAUCAAGAACGAGAGGUUCAGUUACUAGAAUUGUACCAGGAAUCAGGGAUUCUCCUCGUAUAGAUAGGAGCGUAGAGAGAGAACACCAGAAAAAGAAGUACAAAGUAAAGCUUCAGUCUCAAGCACAAUCUGGCAUUAUCCGCAAGCAAGUUUGCAAGUUCCCGCUCAACCAGGCCCUCGGAUGUGGGAAGGAAGUGAGGACCUGCAUUGCAAUUUGGUGAAGAGGCAUGUUGUAAGUGUGUUAUAUUCCUCGUGUACACGUGUGCAAAGUAGGAUCGAUUGCUAUUUCCUGAAAUUUUGAGAAUUCAACUUUUUUGUAUGUUAUGAUGCUCAACCUUUAAGAUUUACCGGUUUGGGACAAGAGGUGUAUAAAGUUUCAAUCUUUCAAGGAUAAGAAGCGGAGUUUUCUUAAGAUCCAAUUUUGAGUGUUAGGUUCUUUUUGUUGAGAAUAGUGAAAUAUAGGAGUUUGGAUACAUCAGGUACAAUUUUGGUGGAGGAAUUUAAUGAAAUUACUAUAUUAUCUAUCAUUAUUUUUUUUCUCCUUUUUUAACUUUACCAGUUUCAAAUUUUUGUUUCUCCUUCUUUUUAAAUUGGUUUAUCUGGUGAAAAUAUAUGAAAAUAAGUGAUUGAUUCUGAUUCACAAGUUUAUUUAUGUACUAGCAGAUUAGUUAAGGAAAAAAAAAAAAAAAGAACCUAAGCUCAAGCGUAAUGAUAAGUCCUCUGUAGGGAUCUAGUAGCUCAGUUGGUUGACUAUCUGAAGGUGAGGGUUCGAAUCCCCAUAUUGUAAUCCCCUUCCCCUACCCCCUAUGUAAUAAAAAUAUUUUUUUUUUAAAAAAAAAUGAUAAGUCCUCUAAUCCCAAUUGAAGAACCAACAUACUCUUAGCUACUAUAUUAAUUGAACAUCUAACUUCCAAGUCUUGUAAUGCUAUUUAUCUAAAUAUAUUUUAGGUGAUAAGGGUUGGAUCUCAAGCCACAAGGUCCUUUAUAAUUAUCUAACAAACAAUUUCGAAACUUCAUUAAAAAUAGAUCAUGAGAAGUAUCAUAAAUGUAAAGAGAACUGAAACAAUGGAUGUAGUUGUCACCGGGGCACCUAUUGUAGAUGUAUUUUUCCUUUAAUGAAGUUAGGCAGCUUGAGUUGUACUGGAGUGGCAUGAUUAUUUUUAGAAAAAAAUGUGAGUGAGACGUGCAGUAUAAACACUUAUAGUCGACAUUGGCAAUCAGACUCUGUAACUGCUAUCCAUGAUUUGUUCCUGGUAGCGGCGAAACCAAGUCCGUUGAAUAUGGCCAAAACUGUUUCCAAGUAUUGCAAUGUGAUUGGGAAUGGGAAGUUUUGUUCCUAUUAUCAGAUAUUCCAUUAGGAUUCAAUAUUUUCACCCAUUGAUUUUGCAGGUAUGAUUUCUGAAAUUCUGAUCUGGAUUGGUUAUAGUUCUCAUUGACAAUUAUAAUAACAUGUUAGCUUAAGUCGAAACUUGUUUUUUCUUGAAGCACACAAUCUCAAGUACUUGUUUGUCAUUCUAACGUGGAAGUGAAAAAUUUGCAGAGGAUAACUGGAAUUCGUUGUUCUGGCAGCAGAUCAUGAUGUCUUCUUCCCAGUUUGUGUCCGUUUUACUGCCUCAAGAACGUUUGAUGACCUGAAGAUGAUAGAUUCCUCAAAUUUGCAAAGGGACUAGGAGAAUGCUCUAACAAUCCAUGAAAUCAUCGACAUGCACUGCAUAUGAUAACUCGAAACAAAUUCUGAAGAAAUUGUGAAAUAGAGAACGGAAUUUGCUUCUGAUUCUUCUCAGGGCAGCUCUAGACAAGACUGAGACUAUGAAAGCCACAAAGCAUUAACUUGGUAAGUGAUGUCUUCUGGCAAAAGGUUGCAACAUGAACAACAGCUUUCCUUCACUUCCUUUAGUUCUUGUGCUUGGUGUUGUUGGAGUAUCAUGAAUGCCUCUGUUGUAGAUUCACUAAUUAAUAUACAAGGCUAGAAACAUGCAGAUAACGAUUAUUCUUGUUAUUAUAGGCAAACAGCGAAUUUGGAACAUAUGUAAAAUCACCUUGCAAGUUAUUAGUUGUGUAUGCUAGACUAAUAGUAAUAUUAUUGUCAUCAUACUGUAUUUGUAUGUCGAGUCCAUCUAACAAGGGAAGACACAAAAACAUGAAUUUUUUUCUUCAGCUUUAACUUUCUGAGAUGACUUGCUCAGUCUACAUCAGUGUAAACUGUUCUUUCAAAUCUGCUAUUUUUCUUCUACUUGUCUUUGAUCUUAUUGUUUCCAAUUGACACAUCUGUGCAAUUCGUUAUGAUGUUUCUCUCAUUUUUAUGAUUUUCAUUUGCUUCAUGUAGUGGAAUGGAUUUUAGCUUAAUUUGCUGCCCAUCCUUGGCUCAUUUCUUUUAUGGAUCAUUCUCAGGCUGAAUCUCUUCAGACUGGAUUGUUAUCUUACAUGUGUGAACAGAUAGUUUGCAAAUCGGAAGACAUUAAAGCCUAAAAAAGGGCAGCCUCGCACAAAGCAUCCCGUAUUAGCAGGGUCUGGGGAAGGGCGGCACUGCAAGGGGUGUGAUGUAGACAACCUACCCUAAUGCAAGCAUUAGUGGCUGCUUUCUCGGCUCAAACCCGUGAUGAUUUUGCUGGUGAAAGGGAAGAUCCUUCUAGAAAAUUUAGUCUUCCAGAGCCAGAGGCAGUGCUACAAGAGCUAUUUCGUAAAUUUUGAUUGUUGUUCCUUACACCAAUAAUCAGCUGAUGAAUUCUGUUCGUCAUUGCUCAGAUAAUGGGAAAUAACUCUUUAAUCCAUAAGUGAAAUAUGCUUUGUUCAUUGAGCGUAUUUGAUUCAGAGAUUAGCCACUCGGAUCCUUCCACCAAUAGUUCAGAAAGCUUCCUACUUUCCAGGGAAAACUAUUCUCUUUGCCAAGCUGCUCAAAGUUUGAACUAUUAAAGCUUCGAGUUGUAAAAGGCAGCCUACAGAUGCUGGGACCAGAUGGGUAGUUGAAGAAGCAUGGAAACCAUGCCCCAUACGUUUGGUUCCACUGUCCGUCUUCCGAUUCUGAUUUUGUGGACGAUUCAAUAGAAGUUGCAAAAUCAUCAGUCAAUGAAAUCCCAGAAACUGAUAAAUGUGGAUGCAAGCUGGAGGCUUCUUCUGCGAUGGAACACUUAAAUGAUCCUAAAAUUAAGUGAGGAAGACGGAGAAGGCAGCUGAUAGCCAGUGUAUGAAGAAUAUGGAGGUUGAAAGGCAUUUUAUCUCGGAUAAAAAUGACAAUAAUGAUGCAUUUGGAAGGUUCAAAAUGGCACCUGAUGAUUGAUGGAGUCUGCAACCAAUUUUGUAGCUUGUAUAUUAUUGGCCAAUGGAAUUCGCUGCUAAAUUCCAAUAUUUAAAAUUAUUUGUUUUACCUUCUUAAUGUAUAUGAUUCCAUUAUCAUGCAAAACAGACAAGGAAAAUGAAUUAAUAUCACUGGGUUGUUGUUAGCAUA